GUCGGGCAAUCGAAUCUACUGUUGCAGCAAUUGCCACGCCCACGCCGCCGAUCACGAGGAAGUCGUGUCCAAGCAAUUCCAUGGCCGAUACGGUCGCGCCUAUCUCUUUAACAAAGUGAUACAGCCUACGAGGAGAGGGAGAAGUACAAAGAAGGCAAAUUUAUCAUCGAAAAGAAGAAGAUGACCAAAGAGAAUUGGUAGAGCGAUGGCACUUCUCUUUUGUACAGACCGGAGGUAAAGAAAAAGAUCCCGAAAAGAAAUCACGGCGUCAAGGAAAGUUUGUCGUCAAUAAAGGCCUAAAGUUUUGGUUCG